rnacentral:lncRNA from 1 species
UGGCUUCUUCAAUCAAUGGUAUUUUUUGACCCCCCUUUGAAUUGGCAACCUCUUCCUCUGCUACAUCUUUAUUGUCUGACUUGGUAUUUAAGGAUUCUUCAUCCAAAUGUGUUGUCAGAUCUUCAUUCAACAAAUCCAAUUACCGUACCUAAGAUUGAAGACAGGCAAUUUGGUUAACGUGCUCCUCCAACAUCUUCUGUCAUUCUUUUGUUGGUUUCAAAGGUAUCUCCGAAGGUGUUGUCAUUGAAACAAGCAUAUUGGUUCGUACUAAAUUAUUGGCCUCCUUCUCUAAUUCGGCUAGUUUAGUCUGCAACAUCGCAACCUCUACCUACAACCGCUCUUGCCAUUCCUUCCAAUUGGUCUCCAUCAUUGCUUCCUUAGACACUAUGUUUGCCACCCUCUUCUUUUCUGCCAUCCACUUUUCUUUAAUCCUAACCUUCACCAGCACAAUAUCAAUAGGUGAUAAGUUUUGUGAAAUGCACAAAAAUCCAUGCAUAUGCACUCCUCAAAAAUCUUGCUAUUUCUCCUUAGUCCAACAAACAUGCAAUCGAGUCGGCUCCAUAUUAGUCACAAUAAUAUACUCCAAUAGUGGCAAUUCAUCCUUACACCUUACCUUGCAUUGUUUCUCCUCUCUAUUCAACUGCCUCUUAGUCUUCUCAAUCGCCAUUAUAUUUUAAUACAAGCAAGCACUAACAACUAAUCUCUCAAAAAACACAUACAUAGCUACUUACACAAAAGAAAACACAAUGCUUGUCAAGAGUCUCCUUCCUACUUCUUACUAUGGUUCAAUCAAUUGGGUCGACUCCCCCUUAUUUUCCAUGAUUUGUCAUGAUGAAAUAUUCUACUAAUUAGGUCUGAUAACCAAUCUUUACUAUCGCCAUCACUAAUCCCAUCCAUAUUCCUCACACUUCUUAUCACCUUAUAUUUAUUAUCCUAUC